rnacentral:rRNA from 1 species
GGGGAAUCUUGCACAAUGGGGGAAACCCUGAUGCAGCGACGCCGCGUGAACGAUGAAGCCCUUCGGGGUGUAAAGUUCUUUCGACAGGAACGAUAAUGACGGUACCUGGAGAAGAAGCUGCGGCUAACUACGUGCCAGCAGCCGCGGUAAUACGUAGGCAGCGAGCGUUGUUCGGAGUUACUGGGCGUAAAGAGUGCGUAGGCGGCGAGCCAAGUUUGGUGUGAAAUCUCCCGGCUUAACCGGGAGGGUGCGCCGAAAACUGGUUGGCUGGAGUAUGGGAGAGGAAAGCGGAAUUCCUGGUGUAGCGGUGAAAUGCGUAGAUAUCGGGAGGAACAUCUGCGGUGUAGACAGCUUUCUGGACCAAAACUGACGCUGAGGCACGAAAGCGUGGGUAGCAAACA